UCCAUGAGCCGUAGCAGCCUGAAGGUGCCUGGGCCCAGAAGCUAAGCAGGGUCCAGCUUGAAUGAGGCUUGGAUGGGGGACCACCUGAGGAGACCAGGGCUGGAGGCU
rnacentral:rRNA from 1 species